rnacentral:rRNA from 1 species
UACAUGGGGUGCAAACGUUGCUCGGAAUUAUUGGGCGUAAAGCGCACGUAGGCGGUCCGUUAAGUCGGAUGUGAAACCUCCAGGCUCAACCUGGAGACGCCACCCGAUACUGCUGUGGCUAGAGUCCAGUAGGGGAGUGUGGAAUUCCCGGUGUAGCGGUGAAAUGCGCAGAUAUCGGGAGGAACACCAGCGGCGAAGGCGGCACUCUGG